GGGGCGGGCGCCGUGCUUACCAUGCAGUCGACGCUGAAGCCCCAGCUUGCUGGGGUGGAUGAGUGGCGAACGGGUGAGUAACACGUGAGUAACCUGCCCAUCACUCUGGGAUAAGCGCUGGAAACGGCGUCUAAUACUGGAUACGAGCAGCGACCGCAUGGUCAGUUGCUGGAAAGACUGGUUCGGUGAUGGAUGGACUCGCGGCCUAUCAGCUUGUUGGUGAGGUAAUGGCUCACCAAGGCGACGACGGGUAGCCGGCCUGAGAGGGUGACCGGCCACACUGGGACUGAGACACGGCCCAGACUCCUACGGGAGGCAGCAGUGGGGAAUAUUGCACAAUGGGCGCAAGCCUGAUGCAGCAACGCCGCGUGAGGGAUGACGGCCUUCGGGUUGUAAACCUCUUUUAGUAGGGAAGAAGCCUUCGGGUGACGGUACCUGCAGAAAAAGCACCGGCUAACUACGUGCCAGCAGCCGCGGUAAUACGUAGGGUGCAAGCGUUGUCCGGAAUUAUUGGGCGUAAAGAGCUCGUAGGCGGCUUGUCGCGUCUGCUGUGAAAACCCGAGGCUCAACCUCGGGCCUGCAGUGGGUACGGGCAAGCUAGAGUGCGGUAGGGGAGAUUGGAAUUCCUGGUGUAGCGGUGGAAUGCGCAGAUAUCAGGAGGAACACCGAUGGCGAAGGCAGAUCUCUGGGCCGUAACUGACGCUGAGGAGCGAAAGCAUGGGGAGCGAACAGGAUUAGAUACCCUGGUAGUCCAUGCCGUAAACGUUGGGAACUAGAUGUAGGGCCUGUUCCACGGGUUCUGUGUCGUAGCUAACGCAUUAAGUUCCCCGCCUGGGGAGUACGGCCGCAAGGCUAAAACUCAAAGGAAUUGACGGGGGCCCGCACAAGCGGCGGAGCAUGCGGAUUAAUUCGAUGCAACGCGAAGAACCUUACCAAGGCUUGACAUAUAGAAGAACGGGUCAGAAAUGAUUCACUCUUUGGACACUUCUAUACAGGUGGCUGCAUGGUUGUCGUCAGCUCGUGUCGUGAGAUGUUCGGAUUAAGUCCGGCAACGAGCGCAACUCUCGUUCCUAUGUUGCCAGCACGUAAUGGUGGGGAACUCAUGGGAUC
rnacentral:rRNA from 1 species